rnacentral:rRNA from 1 species
UACAGAGGUCCCAAGCGUUGUUCGGAUUCAUUGGGCGUAAAGGGUACGUAGGCGGCGCGGUAAGUCGGGUGUGAAAUCUCGGAGCUUAACUCCGAAACUGCAUUCGAUACUGCCGUGCUUGAGGACUGGAGAGGAGACUGGAAUUUACGGUGUAGCGGUGAAAUGCGUAGAUAUCGUAAGGAAGACCAGUGGCGAAGGCGGGUCUCUGGACAGUUCCUGACGCUGAGGCACGAAGGCCAGGGGAGCAAACGGG